CAGUCGCCACGGUAAUACAGAGGAUGCAAGCGUUAUCCGGAAUGAUUGGGCGUAAAGGGCUCGCAGGCGGUUUCUUAAGUCUGAUGUGAAAGCCCCCGGCUCAACCGGGGAGGGUCAUUGGAAACUGGGGAACUUGAGUGCAGAAGAGGAGAGUGGAAUUCCACGUGUAGCGGUGAAAUGCGUAGAGAUGUGGAGGAACACCAGUGGCGAAGGCGACUCUCUGGUCUGUAACUGACGCUGAGGAGCGAAAGCGUGGGGAGCGAACAAGAUUAGAUACCCGCGUAGUCCCUGUCUCUUAUAC
rnacentral:rRNA from 1 species